GGCUCGAUGUAUCCUGGGGCUGUAGAAGGUCCCAAGGGUUGGUCUGUUCGCCCAUUAAAACAUCACGUGAGCUGGGUUCAGAACGUCGUGAGACAGUUCGGUCCCUAUCUGUUGUGGGCGUAGGAAAUUUGAGAGGAGCUGUUUUUAGUACGAGAGGACCGAAACGGACAAACCUCUGGUGUAUCUGUUGUGGCGCCAGCUGCAUUGCAGAGUAGCUAUGUUUGGAAGAGAUAAGCGCUGAAAGCAUCUAAGCGCGAAGCUCGCCUCAAGAUGAGAUUUCCCUUAAGGGUCGUCAAAGACUAUGACGUUGAUAGGUUGCAGGUGUAAAGUCGGUAACGGCAAAGCCGAGCAAUACUAAUUACCCGUUUGUCUUUUCU
rnacentral:rRNA from 1 species